rnacentral:pre_miRNA from 1 species
CAUGUACUCCUUCCGUUCUGAAUUAUUUGUCGCAUGAAUGGACGUAUCUAGAUAUAUUUUAGUUCUAGAUACAUCCAUUUCUACGACGAGUAAUUUGAAACAAAUGGAGUACUUA